ACUCAGAAGUCAACUGAUGGGACCUCUUAAACCAGAGGGGAACUCGGGGAAGACAGCAUGAUUCCUGAGAUGGGCAAAAUGCUGGAUAUCUCUACGUGUCUCAUAACCUCCCCUGCCUGUAACCCUGAGCACCGAUGCUUGACCUACUGAAAAGAAAGUUCUCUUCCUUCUUCUGCGGUCUUCAGUGAAGAUUCUAAGGCCAAGUUCUCCAUUUUCCAGCUUGAAUUUGUUG